CCUACGAGGGGCUGCAGUGAGGAAUAUUGGUCAAUGGCCGGAAGGCUGAACCAGCCAAGCCGCGUGAGGGAGGAAGGCGCAGAGCGUCGCAGACCUCUUUUGCCGGGGGACAAAAGGCCGGACUCGUCCGGUCCUGAGGGUACCCGGAGAAAAAGCAUCGGCUAACUCCGUGCCAGCAGCCGCGGUAAUACUGAGGAUGCGAGCGUUAUCCGGAUUCAUUGGGGUUAAAGGGUGCGUAGGCGGAUCGUUAAGUCAGUGGUCAAAGUGAGGGGCUCAACCCCUUCCCGCCAUUGAAACUGGCGCUCUGGAGUGGAAGAGAGGUAUGCGGAAUGCGUGGUGUAGCGGUGAAAUGCAUAGAUAUCACGCAGAACCCCGAUGGCGAAGGCAGCAUGCCGGCUCCCGACUGACGCUGAAGCACGAAAGCGUGGGGAUCGAACAGGAUUAGAUACCCGAGUAGUC
rnacentral:rRNA from 1 species